UUAAGCCACUCCUCCAAGAUACUGAAUAUACAAUUCUCAACCUUUUUCCCUUGCAUCUUAAGCCCCACUAUCCACCCCGGGCCUACCAUCCACCCCAGGCCAAGGCAAACGAGCCCCACCAUCCAUCCAACCUCAACUAAAGAAAAAGACAAACCACAGGUAAAGGAGCCACACAAGCCCCACCCUCUACCCUGGCCAAAAAGAAGAAAACAAAAAGCAAGUAGACAUUCUUUGCACCCCAUGUGUAUAUUUGUUUCUAUUCUUUGCACCCCAUGUGUAUAUCAGCAGCCAUGUGUUGGGUGUAAAUGUGUUUUUGCAUGUAGCCCCCUUUAAUUGGACCAAACUCAGGGUGUAUUCACACUUGGUCUUUUUCAGCCCUCAAAGUGAACUAAGAACAGUGACUCAUAUAUGAACACCUCAAGCAAACUCAGACCCAUUUGAAAUGAACCAAACGUUUUUUUGCCUUUGUCAUUUAAGGUUGCAAAUGCAGUCGACAGACAAUUUAUCCAUACGAUAAAAUAUUGGAAAGACGGAUGAAUGGGGUAAGAUGUAGAACCAUAUUUUUCAUUAGGCUGUCUGAUUAUCUCUUGACUCAUGUCUGUCUCAUCUUUCAAUCCACAUGUGACAAAACAGUAACACUGAGCAGUAGGUAUCAAACUUUUUCAACUAUCAACCCUCUCACAAGUGCUACCCCUUAGGAAAAAAAAGUAUACUUCAAGUUAUUUUAUGAAGUAUACUUAAGUAAUGUUCAAGUAUAUUUUUAAGUAUACUUUAUGGAGUAAGUAUACUAGUAUCAAUGUGUACUAUUUCAAUACUGCUUGGGGCUAAAUUGGCCCACUUUUAGUAUAAAAGUAUAUGUUUAAGUGUACUAAAAGUGUAAACUUUAAGUACACAACUAGGUUUCUCAUUUUUAAUGCAUCUUUACUACAAGUGAACUUAUAAGUAUACUAGUAGUUUACUAUUUUAAUACAAGUAGUACAUUUUUUAGUUAGGAAAGUAC
ensembl:lncRNA